GAAAAAUGCUUUCUUCUGCUACUAGCUCUUUCUCAUUUCACCACCACCGCCACCACCAUCACCAUAAUCAACCGUUAAUAAUGACUCUAAUCUUAAAUUCUCCACCACUCCCAUGUGGUAAUAGUAAGAAUAUCUUCUCCUAUCAUUCUCAUCACUUUCAUCGCAGUAGUUUCCAUCAUCACUCUUUCAAAUUCUUAAACCCUAAACCCUUUCGUUUUCGUUCAACCAAUCACAUCCCUUCAUAUUCUUCAUCUUCUUCUACUAAUCCAAUCCGACAGACCCUACAAGAAGAAGACGAAGAGAGUUUGGAUUUGAGUAAUUUUGAUUCUGAUGAUGGUAAUUUGGUGAAAAACUUGCCAUCUUCACCUGCGAUUGAAGUGAAAGAAUUAGAAGAAUUACCUGAACAAUGGAGAAGGACUAGAAUUGCUUGGUUAUGUAAAGAAUUACCAUCUCAUAAUCCACCUACUGUACUUAGACUUCUCAAUGCACAGAGAAAAUGGAUUAAUCAAGAAGAUCUUACUUACAUUGCUGUUCAUUCGAUGCGUAAACGGGACAACGAAACCGCUUUUCGGGUGUAUAAAUGGAUGCUUAGACAACGCUGGUUUCAAUUUGAUUUUGCGCUGGCAACCAGGCUAGCAGACUACUCCGGGAAGGAGCGGAAAUUCUCUAGAUGUCGUGAGAUAUUUGACGAUAUAAUCAACAAAGGUCGAGUGCCUAGUGAGUCAACAUUUCAUAUUCUUACAGUUGCUUAUCUAAGCUCAUCAGAGGAAGGUUGUUUAGAAGAAGCCUGUGGGAUUUACAACCGUAUGAUUCAAUUCGGGGGAUACCAACCUCGUCUUAGCUUACACAAUUCUCUAUUCAGAGCUCUUAUUGGUAAAACAGGAGGCUCCUCGAAACAAUUUCUCCAGCAAGCGGAGUUCAUUUUCCAUAACAUAAAGACAUCUGAACUCGAGAUACAGAAAGAUAUUUGUGCAGGUUUAAUUUGGUUGCAUAGCUACCAAGACGAAAUUGAUAGAGAAAAGAUUAUGGAAUUGAGAGAAGAAAUGAAGCGACUUGGAUAUGAAGAGGGGACGGAUGUGCUUGUUUCCUUAUUAAGGGCUCACUCGAAGGAAGGGGAUGUGGAAGAGACAGAACGUACGUGGCUUAAACUCCUCGAUUCUGAUGCUACUCUUCCUUAUCAAGCUUUUGUUUACCGAAUGGAAGUUUAUUCUAAGGUCGGAGAACCUAUGAAAUCAUUGGACAUAUUCAGGGCGAUGCAAGAGCAUUUGGGUUUCACCACUUUUGUGGCAUAUAACAAAAUCAUAGAGGUGAUGUCUAAAACUGAGGAGAUUGAAAUUGUGGAAACCCUUGUGGAAGAGUUUAUAACGAGCAGUCUAAAGCCUCUUGUGCCAGCUUUUAUUAAUCUAAUGCGUAUGUAUUCUAGAUUGAACAUGCAUGGAGAACUGGAAGCUGCCUUUUUCCGCUGUCUUGAAAAAUGCAUUCCAAAUCGAACAAUUUAUAAUAUCUACUUGGAAUCUCUUGUCAAAGUUGGUAAUUUUGUCAAGGCUUCAGAGAUUUUCAACCGUAUGCAAUGUGAUGGGGCGAUUGGUGUCAACUCUCGAGCAUGCAACACCAUUUUAGGCGUGUAUCUUUUAUGUGGAGAAAAUGACGAAGCAGAAAAAGUAUAUGAUUUGAUGUGCAAGAAGAAAUUUGACGUUGAGGCGCUACUAAUGGAAAAGCUAGGGCCUAUUCUGAGCUUGAGCAAAAAGGUGAUUAAGAAGCCUACAAGACUGAAUCUCACCAAAGAACAGAGAGAGAUCUUGAUUGGUUUAUUGUUGGGUGGUGUGCAGAUAGAAUCAGAUGAAGAAAGGAAGGUCCAUGCUAUCCAAUUUGAGUUUAAUCAGGAAUCUAGUGUUCAUAGUGCACUGAAGAGACAUAUCCACAACGAAUACCAUGAAUGGGUAAAGGAUCCAAGUAAGGCUGAUGAGGAGGGUGAAGAGAUACCAUCUAAAUUCUCCACCACUGCACACACUUACUUUGGUUUUUAUGCAGACCAGUUCUUGUCAAAGGGCAAACCUACUAUACCCAAACUGAUCCAUCGUUGGUUGUCACCACGUGUACUAGCUUAUUGGUACAUGUAUGGCGGCCAUAGAACAUCCUCAGGGGAUAUAUUGCUGAAAUUAAAGGGUGGAAAUCGAGAAGAUGUUGAGAGGAUUGUCAAGUCAUUGAAAGCAAUGUCUCUGGAUUGCCGGGUUAAGAAGAAAGGAAGAGUUUCUUGGAUUGGUUUAUUUGGGAGCAACUCAUUGGGGUUUUGGAAACUGACUGAGACAUACAUUUUAGAUAACUUAAAAGAUCUUUUAAAACCAGAUGUUGAAUCCUUAGAACUAGACGAAGACCAAGACAUCAACUUCGACAGUGAGACUGAUUCAGAAGAGUACGUCUCGGAACAAGCUGAUUCAAAAACUAACUAAAAUAGCAAAUCCUGAUCUAUUCUGCGAGUACAGGAGAUACAAGAGUUCUCUGCAUUUUACAGGGCCAGUAACAGGAUUGAAGAAGAACUGGGUAGAUUGGCAAAGCAGAUAAAGACUAUGAUGAAAACCUUGUCAAUUUGUUCUGGGGUAUCAGAAACUGCAUCUAUUGUUCUGGAUUCCACAAGGCUUUCUGUCAGACUGAGAUCAUCUGGUGCUGAGAGUUGGUGGUAGCUUGCACGAUUUCUGGAUCAUGUCCAUGCAGCAAGAUUAACACAUUCUCAAGUUGGUCAUCUCAGAAGUCUACCAGGAUUCGUCUCAAUCAUCCCUGAUAGUGUUCACCAACUCCAGCUCCACACCACUUAUUCUCCUCAGUUUCUUGGUCUAAAUGAUGGUUU